AGGCGAAACGCGGCUCACAAGCCGCGUCCUGGUAGAGUGGUUUCUACCGGCUGAGGAUGCCAGCCACUA
rnacentral:hammerhead_ribozyme from 1 species